rnacentral:lncRNA from 1 species
AUCCAACUUGCUCAAAUCUUAUGAAACUACAGAUUAAAGAUGUGUGUUAGAGCAUUCACAUCCCUUCCUUAAAAUUAUGUGAGAGAGGUUUUUAUUUUAUGAAAAGUGGUUGUAGGUGUUGUGGGUAGAGCAAGGAGAAAAUGUUACUGUUCAUCUAUAAAUUUGAGAAGGUCGAUUGGCCCUUAAGGAGGGUCGAUUCUUAUAGACUAAUACCAUUGCAAGGUAUGAGACUUGUCCCACAUCAAUUGUAUGGGCAACUGAUGUGAGGUUUAUAUACCAAAUGAGCUCUCUCGCCUACUAAACUAGUCUUUUGGGUUGAGUUAUUUGUAAAAGGAAGCUUAAAUAAAAGAGACCUAACAAACGAUGAAGGGAAAGGGAGGAAUUUUGUGAAAAUUUUAUAACACGAGAGAAUUUCAAGAAUUUUGUGGAGACUUUGCAUGAUCGAGUCUAU